ACUAUGACGGGCUUGUUUACAGUUAAACUCGAUAUUUGAUCGAGGCAGACCGUACAUUGAUAUAAUUUAUUCAUUAGUAUUUUAUGUUUUUAUGGUAGAUACCUAGUUGCAAUGAGAAAUUAGACUCAGUAAAACACAAUUGAAGUGAACAAAGAGAAUUGUAAUUGAUGAAAUUACGUUUACAGUUUCUAUUGUUAGGCUAGUAAAUAUUUCUUGUCCGCUGAGUGUAUGUGUGCCGCCAUAACAAAGUUUGUAACACGAGCAUAAUGAGUGGGGGCAAUAAAAAUGAUAAGUUGGAGGAGGCGAGAGGGUUGGUGGAUGAGACUGUGAAGAUUAUGAACAAUAAUAUGGAAGCGAUAUGGGAGAGGGAGGAUAAGUUGCAGAUAUUGCACGGUCGAGUUGAGGACUUGCAGGAGGGAGCUCAACAGUUCCAGCGCCGCAGUGCCAAAGUCAAGAUGAACUAUAUCAUGAAGAAUCUCCAGUUAACCAUCAUCAUUGUCAUCCUAAUAGCUAUCUUAAUAGCUCUAGUCCUGUGGGUUGGGUUGUAGGUUUUUUUUCGGUAAGGGUAACAUUGCUCUCAUUUUAGUUAGCAUAAAACCAUGUCUACUUUCUAUUCAUUCAAUAAAUCUAUCGUAAUCAUUCUU
rnacentral:misc_RNA from 1 species